rnacentral:rRNA from 1 species
CUUAGUGGCGAACGGGUGAGUAACACGUGAGUAACCUGCCCCAGAGUGGGGGACAACAGUUGGAAACGACUGCUAAUACCGCAUAAGCCCACGGAACCGCAUGGUUCAGAGGGAAAAGGAGCAAUUCGCUUUGGGAUGGACUCGCGUCCGAUUAGCUAGAUGGUGAGGUAACGGCCCACCAAGGCGACGAUACAUAGGGGGACUGAGAGGUUAACCCCCCACACUGGUACUGAGACACGGACCAG